GCCCCUGUAGUCUAACGGAUAGAAUACGCGGUUGCGGUCCGCGAGAUCGGGGUUCGAUUCCUCGCAGGGGCA
rnacentral:tRNA from 1 species